UGUUCCACGCGCACAGCCAGGUCCCGCGUCCACGACGCCAGGGGCUUUUGUGAGGGAUAUGCCUGCGAAAGGAGGCGGGGUUGGCUUGCUCCAUGCUCCCUGGGCAGCAUCAGCUCCUGCUCUGCAACUCCAGAGCGGAGGCACAUGAGCGUCAAAGAUACAAUUGAAGAUCUCUUCCAGGCUUGUUGACAUGACAAUGAGGCCCUGGAUGCCCUUCUCCAGGAGGACCACGUUGAGCGGGGACGGGUCGAGAGCCAGCAGCUUCCGGGUGCCCUCGUAAUCGAUCAUCUCGGGGAUCUUCUGCUUCACAUCCGCAGCCAGCUCGAGGACCUAGGAAGGCAGCGGCUGGGGCUGGCCUGCCCUUCAGCCUUCCCUCGCCCCGGGACGCCCUCUGUCCCUACCUUCUCUUCUCGGCUCUGGCCCCCAAUCCUGGUGGGUGUGAUUUGGGGUUGCAGGGAAAGCAGAGUCUCAAAGAGGGUCCGGGCCUCAGUGAUCUGCGAGGCCACAUCAGCAUUGGGGUGUUGGCCAAAGGCCUCAGGGGGGUCCAUGCUGGGCAGCAUGCUGAUGUAUUCUUUGUAAGAGGCCAAGGCCCCGUCCUUCGGGAUGAAGUAAGUCUCCAGUACAGACAACCUGGGCAGCCACAGUGGAGAAUCACCACGUGGCAGGACCUGAGCUUCCACACCAAACCAAGACCUCAGGCUCCAUGUGUUCCCAGUUGCGUGACUGGCGGCUCCAGCUCCUGCUGCGCCUCCCAACUCCACAAACUCUGUCUCCUCCCGACCUCCGGGUCUCCGCACACCCACACACAACCCUGGCUCCAGGUCUGAGCAUCUCCUUUCAGCCCUCACCGGUAGUUGGGGGUUGAGAGACUCAGGUCGCAGAAGUAAUCAUUGAUGUAGGUGGUGAGCAGGCGCCUGUCCCAGUCAUCCGUGACGUGGCCGCCGUAGUUGACGCCGGCGAUGAGGGCGAUGGCGAGGCCUCUCCCCAUGUCCUGGCACCCAGUACCCCACAAAGGAGCCUCGGGGCAAGGAGGACGAGGAGAGAGGGCCGACGAGGGAAGCGCGAACCUCAAAGUCGGAGUCGUUGAAGCCGUAGACAAUAUUCCAGCCGAGCUGCAGGAACUUCUUGCGCUCCAGCAAUAUGGAGUGGAAGAAGCAGAGCGCGAACAGCAGCUUCUUGUACUUGGCGGGCUUGGAGCAGUGCGUGAACUGGACCUCCGUCAUCAGCUGGUACAGGCGAGUCAUGUUGGCCUUCAGACCCUGAGGGCGGGGAAGCAAGGGCUGCCUGUGACGGUGGGCGGGGUGGAGGGCGCUCACAGUGGGGCGGGGCUGCCCCCACUGAGUCCUCCCUCCCCCACCAGUGCUGCACACUGAGGCCCAAUCACUCUGCCCCUCCCUCCCCGUUCUGGGGACAAGGUCUCAUCCUGCAGCUCUGGCUGGCCUGGGAAGGCCAGGUAGAGCAGGUGGGCCUGGAGCUCGGGUAUCUCCCUGCCUUCCUGAUAGUGCUAGGACUACAGGUGUGUACCACAGCGGCCGGCCCUUCCUCUGCGCUUGAUUGUCUCAGUCAUGACACCCCUGAUGAAGGAACCAGUUCAGUUUGCAAGUGCCAGAACAUAUGGAUAAAGACAGAAGUGUACACCUGCAAUUAGCUUUUCAUUGUUAUUUGUUGUGUUUUACGUCAAUGCUGGGGGUUGAGGCUCAAAGCCUUGUUCAUUCCAGGAAAAUAUUCUACCACUGAGCUAUACUGCCAGUCUA